AGAGUUUGAUCCUAGCUCAGAGUGAACGCUGGCGGUGCGCCUAACACAUGCAAGUCGAACGCCCAGCUCCACUUUUCGUGGUUGCUACCACUGCUCCCACUAUGACGGUUGUAGUGACAGCGACAGUGAAAAGUGGGGCUGGGAGUGGCAGACGGCUGCGUAACACGUUGGUACCUGCCCCAGACUCAGGGAUACCCCCGCGAAAGCGGGACGAAUACCGGAUAGCUCCAGCCCCAGUUUUUUGGGAAGUGUGCGGUAAGUUAUUGAGCUUAAUAGCUUGCACGUCACUCCACAAAAAACUGGAGCUGGAUAAAGAUUUUUCGGUCUGGGAGGGGCCUGCGGCCUAUCAGCUCGUUGGUAAGGUAACGGCUUACCAAGGCGAUGACGGGUAGCUGAUCUGAGAGGAUGAUCAGCCAGAAUGGAACUGAGAACGGUCCAUACUCCUACGGGAGGCAGCAGUGAGGAAUCUUCCGCAAUGGGCGAAAGCCUGACGGAGCGACACCGCGUGGAGGAUGAAGCCCUUUUCGGGCGUAAACUCCUGUUCUGAGGGACGAAAUUUUUGACGGUACCUCAGGAGAAAGCAUCGGCUAACCCUGUGCCAGCAGCCGCGGUAAGACAGGGGAUGCAAGCGUUACUCGGAAUUACUGGGCGUAAAGCGUCUGCAGGUGCCCCGCAAAGUCUGAUGUUAAAUGUCGACGCCCAACGUCGUCAUCGUGUCGGAAACGUGCGGGGUCGAGUCACAGAGAGGCAUCUGGAAUGUCGUGUGUAGGGGUAAAAUCCGUAGAUCCACGAUGGAACGCCAAAAGCGAAGGCAGGAUGCUAGCUGUGCACUGACACUCAGAGACGAGAGCGUGGGGAGCAAAGGGGAUUAGAUACCCCCGUAGUCCACGCCCUAAACGAUGUGGGCUCGGUGUAGGAAUUUUCAAUUGAUUCCUGUGCCUCAGCUAACGCGGUAAGCCCACCGCCUGGGAAGUACGGCCGCAAGGCUAAAACUCAAAGGAAUAGACGGGGACCCACACAAGCGGUGGAACAUGGGGUUCAAUUCGAUGGUAAACGAAGCACCUCACCCAGGCUUGACAUCUCGGGAACCCCGCAGAAAUGCGGGGGUGCCGCAAGGAACCCGAAGACAGGCGUUGCACGGUCGUCGUCAGCUCGUGCCUUGAGGUGUACUGUUAAGUCAGCGAACGAGCGCAACCCUCAUCCUGUGUUGUUCUUUCACGGGAGACUGCCGCCUCCAAGGCGGAGGAAGGUGGGGAUGACGUCAGAUCAGCGUGACCUUUAUGCCUGGGGCUACACCCAUGUUACAAUGGCCGGGACAGCGGGCAGCGAAGCCGCGAGGCGGAGCCAAUCCCUCAAACCCGGUCUCAGUUCGGAUUGCAGGCUGCAACUCGCCUGCAUGAAGUUGGAAUCGCUAGUAACCGUGGGUCAGCGAUACCACGGUGAAUAUGUUCCUGGGUCUUGUACUCAC
rnacentral:rRNA from 1 species